GGAAUCUGUGACUCUGGGAAGUUUUUGUCAUCAGUACCUGAAGAGGCAAAGCUUUUAAGGUCUCUUGCAGGCCCUCAUCUUCUGCACUCAGAAAGUCACCACAAACAGAAGUGCUGGUGAAAAUCAGAAGUCUAAUAUCUUCAGAAGCAUAAUGAUGUCCCAUAAAUGCUAAUGAAGAUAAGAUACUUAUGUGUAUUAUCAGCGCUUCUCCUUAGACAACCCAGGCACAAGCAAAUAGUAUUUUGUAUAGAAUCAAGAUUCCUCUGUUUUGUUUUGCCUCUCAUGAAGAACUUCAAACCUCAUGAACAGAUGGUGGAGGGAGUAAUAGCAUAUCAGCAGUUUGCACACUACUCCAGGUGCGUAACUUUCAUUUUGGUGUCUCUCAUCUUGAUUCUUCUGUAUUUGAGCAAAUCCUGAGGUACCAUUGCCGUCCAUAGCAUUUCCUUCCUAAGUAAACGUUUGUUCUGCUUAUCAUACAGCAUGCCACAUACUGUGUUUUGUCACAGAACAGAUUUUGAUAUAUUUGAAACAGCUGGCCCCUAAUCAACCCUGUUUGCAUUAACUUUUUAUACAAUGGAAGUCUUUCUAGGACAACUAUAAAGAGGAGCUGGGUACUGACCAAUGACAGCCUUCCUUAGUGGGAGGAUCUGCUUUUGAAUAGAACCAACAGUGACUUUGGCAGCUUCCUGGCAUUUGCCCUGCCCCUGCAAUUUGGGGAAUGGCAGAAGAACGAUAAGGAAAAGGCAUGAGAAGCCUCUCUCCUUUACAAAAUGUUUUUUAUUCAAUUUUUAACCAGGUUGGCUGUUUAGCUCUGAGCCCACAGCUGUGGCAUGUUUUUCCUUAUUUUAUAUUAAUCUUUUUCACAGCAACUGUCUGGGCUGAAAAUCCUGGGAAAGGGGCCUUGCUGCUUGCAAUAAAACUGCAUUUUUUAUCGGCACCAGGGUGUAAAAUGUCACUCGUGUAUGAUGUUUUAUGUUUUGCUGGGUAGAAAUUCAGUGUCACUUAUGACUUUCUGAGCAUUGUUUAGUUUCAUUACAUUGUACGGAGUCAAGUUUCAGCCCUCUUGUGAUAAAAUGGGGUUUUGAUAUGACUCUUUUGAUAAACGUGAAAUAUCAAAGAAUACCUACUAAAGAUAGCAGUUCUUUGGACUUCUAUUUGUUUGCCAAAUAGGCAUUUUACAUAAGGAAAACUGGAAGGGACCUUGAGAGGUCCCCUCAGAGCAGGACAAGUACCAUCCCUGACAGAUUUGUCCCAGAUCCCUAAAAGGCCCUCUGAAGGACUGAACUCAACCCUUGGUUUAGUAGGCCAAUGAUCAAACCACUGAGCUAACCCUCCAGUUUAGAAGAAAGCGAUGAAGUAUUUAUAUAUUUUCACAGAGAAUUUUAAACCCUUUCUGGGCAAUGAAACAUCAAUAAUAUGCACUCUUCUACUUUUAUUUAUAGGCACAGCUCUAAUUCCUAUCACUGCAGCAGCACAUAUAUAUGAGUGUCUACACAGCAGUGUUAUUUCAGAAUAGCUUGUCAUGGCUCCUUCCUCAC